AGUUAACCGAUGGCAGGGGAGGAUCCACCACUUGGACCCCAACGGUUGACCUUUGUUCCGGUUGCAGUGGCCAAGGUUCGUGUAACUUCGACCAACUCCGUGACGGCCAAAAUGUCGACAGCUCCAUCCGUUUGGUUAACUGCAAUUGUUCAGUGGGCUACACAGGCGUGGACUGCGAGUCAGAAAUUGACGGCUGCGCAGACAACCCAUGCCCUCCAACCGGAAAUUGCACUGACCUGACCCCUAGCGAGGAGGAGACGCAGGGAGUGUCUUUUAGAUGCCUCUGUCCAUCCGGGUAUUUCAUACUCGGGUUGAAAUGCAUAGACAUUGACGAGUGUUCUAACGCGACACUGAACACGUGUAACACGUCCAUUUCAACGUGCGUUAACAU